GCCGUGUGAAGAUUNACAGGUCCUUAAUGAAGACUUUUUCUUUGUGUUUAGACAAUUCUUUAAACAUCUUUGAAUUUUCCAUAUUAAUUACCACUUUACAUUUCUUUGAUAAAGACCGAAGGCUGAAACUUAAGUACAAAUUUACAAACUGCUAACCCCACUUUAUUCACAUCCUUGAUUAGAACAUGAAUGCAUUCAUUUAUCAAAGUUAAGUAGUCAUGUAGAAGACAAAUGUGAUAUCUCAGGUCGAAUGAUUACUAGCAUAAUUGCAACCAAGAACUCCUUUAUGACAGACAAAUAUAACUCGAUUAGUAUUCUUGCGAUUGAGUUAUUGUCAGCAACUACUUGUUUUUCUUAGUUUUUGGCACAAUUGACUUGAAAUCACUCACCUUCCUCCAAGUGAUCAAACAUAUCAUGUGUCGGUCUAUAUGUAAUUGUUGGCAUUACCAAUCUUAUGCCUUGAAUCCCUUCAUCAUGAAACUCAGAAGUUAAGGUCUUCCAUUCAUAAACAUAGGUAGAAAACUGGAGCCUAUAUAUUUUGGGGUCACUACGAACACAAUUGAAAUUGCAUAUAUGUUUAUUAUCAUUACGAGUUUAAGCUUUGCAUGCCGUAUCUGUGUUUCUAGUGCAUUUUCUUUGACAUACAGGUCCACAAUUAAGUCCACUUUCCUUCGUGUUUAGACAAUUCCUUAGACAUAUUUGAAAUGCUGAUUUUAUGUUGCUUUGUUUUUUCAUUUUAAUUACUGC
rnacentral:lncRNA from 1 species